GGGAGUAUAAGCUCCUGCUCUAAUGCAGCUGCUGAUCAGCAACGGUCACAAGCCCGUAUAAAUGCAGAGUGGAGU
rnacentral:ribozyme from 1 species